GGAACCGUGCAGGAGAACCCCUAUUAGCUAGCUCCUCCUCCCGUGAACGGCAGAGCAGGGCCAGAAGUAAGACAAAGGCUGCAAGUCUGCAGCUGGAACUUCUCUAAAGCUGGUGGGAGAGCAGUGACCUGCCGGUCUCCUCUGCGAACUCCAUCUUGCCGGAGACGCUUUCUCGCUGCCUGUGCUGGGGAGCUGGGAAAGUGUUGAACUUACUACGUCCAAAAGUGUGGCCAGCGGCCUGCCGUCCAGAGAUGCCAGGUGAAAGAGCAGACCGCCAGAUGCACGCAGCUGGCCGUGCCGUGCCUCCCCUGGUCAUCCAAGUUCACGGCGUGUCGGCUCAGCAGCUGUGGCCGCGGUGUGUGCUGUUGAUGGGGAACGCAUUGGCCCAACCUGGGCAGACCUCUGGAAAGUCGUGAGUUUACUGAAUGUUAAUCUGCAGGUGUCCAAAUAUUAGCUGUUGGAGAAGCGGUGUCACCGUGGCCUAAACCCUGAAGAUUCGCACCCGUCGCUGGAACGGCAAGUCAAUCUGCACAGUAAGGACCUGGCAUUGGGUGCUGGCUGAGAUCCGGCUCUCUUCAGCGUGCGUGAGAAGUGCGAGUCUUCCAGGGGUCCUCCCCAAGGUCAGAGUCGGGACGGUUCUGCCGGCCUAUGAUUCCUCCCCUGGACUAUUCGCCUGUUUUGAGGGGUAUUCGAUCUCUUUCUGGGAUUGAAGAGUUGUGAGCGUCGACCAAAGAGCAACGCUUGUGUCUGGUGGCAGAGCCGGGGCUGAGAGCAGCUUCUUCAAAUCUCUGAUACACAGGACACAGAGGCCGGAAUGGGGCUUCGCGUGUACAGCCCCGGAUGCUCCCAUUUCCUGUGAGCCCCACGCACACCUGCACCUCGGGCAGCACCCCCAACCGGGACCGUUGUCUCCAUUUUCCCUGACAAUGGGGGAGAGAGCGGCAGUCCCGUUUUUUAACUUUUCCACAGGUAAUAAGUGAGGCAUGUUCAAAGAGUUAUGAAAACGAUACCAGAGUCUAAGGCUUGUACUUAAACAAAACAUGCUCUGUGUGUGGGGUGUGUAUGUACCAUUCUCAGGGGUCUGUCAUGGUUUAAGUAAACUGUCAGAUUUUUAAAUUUAAUGAUGAAUAUGUGAGGAUUCUCUUUUGGCAAGUUAGAAUGGAAUUUUUUGAGGAUCUGGACAAAAUCUCCUAAUCCCGGCGAAUUCUCCAAUGUCGCUUGGCGUGAAAACAUUCAAUGAACUUACUGGAGUAGUCAAUUCACUCAGCGUCCCUGCCUGCGACAAGAGCAUUGGCCAAGAAAAGGGUCAUGUUUCAGUGCUUCCACAGUGGGGCCCCCAAAUUAUGAGCCUUAUUUUUUCCCUUUUGCUUAGAAGAGGCUCGAAGGCUAGAGAUCAACCGCAUGCGCUUUAAGGUUUCUUUUCAGCGUCUCAAGGCUAGAUUGGAGUGGCCCGCGGCCGUGACUUGACUGUGGCCCUCAGCCCUGACUCCCCUCAGGGUCCCCACGACCACUACUGAUUUGCAGGGCACAGUGUCCAGACCAAGCCCCUUCCCAGUCCCCUGACCGACUGCAAAUGGGAUCAGCAACCUCAGAGACGCGCGCUUUGAUUUCGAGAGCCAAGAAAUCAUUUCCGGCUCCACUUUCAAGGAGAACCAACAUGUCAGAAAGAAAGAGAGGCUGACGGAACGUAAAUACUUUAAAACUACAUUUGCAAGCUCCAACCUUGCAUCGUGG